GCUCUUUUCCUCCCUGGCUGCUUGAGCGCCUGCCGCCAUCAUGAACGACACAGUAACUAUCCGGACCAGGAAGUUCAUGACCAAUAGACUACUUCAAAGGAAACAAAUGGUCAUCGAUGUUCUUCACCCUGGGAAGGCAACAGUACCUAAGACAGAAAUUCGGGAAAAACUAGCCAAAAUGUACAAGACCACACCAGAUGUCAUCUUUGUGUUUGGAUUCAGAACCCAUUUCGGUGGUGGCAAGACCACUGGCUUUGGCAUGAUUUAUGAUUCCUUGGAUUACGCCAAGAAAAAUGAACCCAAACAUAGACUUGCAAGACAUGGCCUGUAUGAGAAGAAAAAGACCUCAAGAAAACAGCGAAAGGAACGCAAGAACAGAAUGAAGAAAGUUAGGGGGACUGCAAAGGCCAAUGUUGGUGCUGGAAAAAAGUGAG